UUAAAUAACACGUCUUUCUUCUUUGGAUAGCUUGGGUUACUACAGCCCAUUGACAUUUGUAUUUCUAAUGUAAUAAUCAAAUGCUAAAACACAGAUUACACUUGGAUCAACACAUCCAGUUCUUAAACCCUGAAAGUAAUUAUCUUUUCUCAUGUACGACAAAAUGAAAAUGUUAUCUAGGAGCUGCUGGUGCCUUCAUCAGCCAUGUGCCCAGAGCUGGGAUGGAUCCUGCCCUGGAGGCUGGGGAUCCUGGUGGAGCGUGGUCCCAGAUCACUGUGACACACCAGAUUGGUCAACUCCUGUGCCUGAGCAAUGUCAUCAUGGUGCUGGCUGGAAGGAGCCGUGCAGGAGCACUGUGAAGAGACUUUCCAGGAAUGUUUCUGCAUGGAAAGCCAACACGUCUGCCUUGCAGGACUGAGGGAAGGAGGAGGGAUGGUGACUUGAUCGGUGAAGUCAGUGUGAGACUUCCCAUUGAUUCCAGCGGGUGCCGACCUCUAUGGGCUGAGACAGCAGCCUCAGCAUUGAGCUUGAACCUCACACAAUGGGACCCUUAUCCACAGUGAGGCCACAAAAUGCUGUUGCAUCCUAAAUAAAUUCACAUGAAACCAUCACACGGCAGUUUUCUU
ensembl:lncRNA